AUGUACAUGCCUACAAAAUUAUUGCACCAGAUCCCAUCAAAACUCUACAAUUAAUGCACUUGGGCUAGAGUAGUAUUGGGAUGGGUGACCUCCUGGGAAGCCCUAGUGUUUUACAUG
rnacentral:rRNA from 1 species